AAAGAAUUAAUUUAACCAAAAUAUUAAAUUGUCAAUUUAAAAAUAUCUUAUAAAAGAUAUUCUUUA
rnacentral:tRNA from 1 species